rnacentral:tRNA from 1 species
AGAAAGAUAAGCUAAAAAAGCUAUUAGGUUCAUACCCUAAAUAUAGAAAUGAAUUCUUCUCUCUA